AGAUAAUACUUCUUUGCUGCAUUUGGGAUUUCCUUUGUUUUUUCUCCUUUCACCUUUUAGACGGUGUCGUGGAGAUGGAAGCACAGUUGUAGGACUUCCAUCUACUAUACAAUACUUGUCGAAUUCCAACUCCAUAUCUAGUCAUAUCACUAGAUCUACAACCUAUCAAGAACAAAAUAACAGGUCAUUCACAGUAGAAUAAAAAAGCUAUUUACAUAAUGCCUUAUUGUAUUUCAAAACAAACAUCAACGAAAUAUAAUUAAUCACGUAAAGUUUUGAACUUUAUAGACUAACAUCUUAUAGGGCAAAAUUUGGAUGAACUAAACCAAUUGGAAAUAGCAAAAGCUUAGAUUUUUACACUUCAAGAUUCCAAAUAUACAACAAAAACAAAUCCAGUAAAAUUCCACAAGUGGGGUAUGGGAAAGUUAGUGUAUGCAGAGCUUACCCUACCCUACCCUACCCUACCCUGGGGAGAUAGAGACUGUUUCCCAACAACUCUCGGCUUGAAAAGAAGACUAGGAAAGACAAAAGGUUCAGGAUUCCAAAUAAUGCAUAUAAAACACAGAAGGUUCAGGAAUUAAGCAAACAACUAGAUCUAAGAGAAGAACUCUAAACUAAGGAACUACAAUAUCACAACAUGUUUCACAUGCAAAUCUGAAAAUAUGGAGAGAGAAAAAAGAAGAAAAAAAAUUCAUACCCAUUUCUUCAAAUUGAAAAAAAAGAUGGCCGAGCAAAUAAUGAACUUCAACCAAAGAACCUUAACUUUCCUACCCUUAGUUAAGCAAUUUGAAGAUCUAAUCUUCCAGUUCUAGCAAAUGCACAAAUGCAAGAACCUAAUGACACAUGAAAACAGCGAAAAAGAACUAACUUUGUUCCAAUUAACUGAAAUCAAUGUAACAAAACAAAGAAAUCCCACAACCCCACUUAACUAUGAAGCCCAUAAUUUAUUGUAAAAACACAUCUUAAAACACUUGCAUCCAAAGUAAAUAAAAGGAACAACUGCUCUUGAAAACAUUCCAUUACCAUUUAACAUACCCCACUUGAUCUUAGAGAAUUGAAGCCAAAGAAAAAACCCAACAAACUGCUUGAAAAAGCAAUCAUUUCUUACAAUAUCUUGAGCUUAAAGUCCCAUCCAAGAAAACACAUUUCAUAUUCAUAUAUUCUCCAAAAGGGUAAAAGAAAAGAUACCAAACCAAACUUUCUUGUAUUUAAAAUCAAGAAAAGUACAUGGACUUAAAAAUAACAAGAAUUAACACCUAACCUUCAAAAGUUAGACCAUAUAAUGAGUUAAUGAAAUAUGAACACAACCAGAAAAAAAAGAUUAAUAAAAGAGAAAGCAUGC
rnacentral:lncRNA from 1 species